CUUUCAUUCCUUUUCAAAUUGCCUAGGAGAGGAAAUGAACAGUAACAACCUAGCUACAGUAUUUUACUUACUUUUAUGAAUCACAGAACUGCUAAUGAAGAAGGUACUUCAACCAAAGGGAGAUGAAAUGAUUACUGGGCGUUCAUGACAGCACAUAUAAAAUACAAACUUAAGAGAAGGAUUCUGCCCAGGAGGACGAAGGAGCUGGAUCACUGUGGACAUGAGUCUUAAGAGUCCUUUAGCAUUAAUGAAGGACGGGAAAGAUAUCAACCCUUGAAUUCUCCAUGAACCUGCGCUUGAUAUCAUCCUGGGUGCUGGAGUUUCAAGAGCUAGUGACGGUUGCCACUUUGCUUGAUUCGUGGGAAUGGAUUGUGG